UUCCCCUAGUAACUGCGAGUGAAGCGGGAAAAGCUCAAAUUUGAAAUCUGGCGGUUCUUGACCGUCCGAGUUGUAAUCUAGAGAAGUGUUACCUGUGCUGGACCGUGUACAAGUCUCCUGGAAUGGAGCAUCAUAGAGGGUGAGAAUCCCGUCUUUGACACGGACUGCCUGUACAUUAUGGUGUGCUCUCAAAGAGUCGAGUUGUUUGGGAAUGCAGCUCAAAAUGGGUGGUAAAUGCCAUCUAAAGCUAAAUAUUGGCGAGAGACCGAUAGCGAACAAGUACCGUGAGGGAAAGAUGAAAAGAACUUUGGAAAGAGAGUUAAACAGUACGUGAAAUUGCUGAAAGGGAAACGCUUGAAGUCAGUCGCGUUGGCUAGAAAUCAACCUUGCUUUUGCUUUGUGUACUUUCUGGUUGACGGGUCAGCAUCAAUUUUGACCACUGGAUAAAGUCUUUGGGAAUGUGGCAUCUUCGGAUGUGUUAUAGCCCAUUGUCGCAUACGGUGGUUGGGAUUGAGGAACUCAGCACGCCGCAAGGCCGGGAUUUGACCACGUUCGUGCUUAGGAUGCUGGCAUAAUGGCUUUAAUCGACCCGUCUUGAAACACGGACCAAGGAGUCUAACAUGCCUGCGAGUGUUUGGGUGGAAAAACCCAUGCGCGCAAUGAAAGUGAAAGUUGAGAUCCUCUUCAAAGGAGGAGCAUUGACGCCCGGACCAGACCUUUUGUGACGGAUCCGCGGUAGAGCAUGCAUGUUGGGACCCGAAAGAUGGUGAACUAUGCCUGAAUAGGGUGAAGCCAGAGGAAACUCUGGUGGAGGCUCGUAGCGAUUCUGACGUGCAAAUCGAUCGUCAAAUUUGGGUAUAGGGGCGAAAGACU
rnacentral:rRNA from 1 species